GGGUUGUGAGGUUAAGCGACUAAGCGUACACGGUGGAUGCCCUGGCAGUCAGAGGCGAUGAAGGACGUGCUAAUCUGCGAAAAGCGUCGGUAAGGUGAUAUGAACCGUUAUAGCCGGCGAUGUCCGAAUGGGGAAACCCAGUGUGAUUCGUCACACUAUCGUUAACUGAAUACAUAGGUUAACGAGGCGAACCGGGGGAACUGAAACAUCUAAGUACCCCGAGGAAAAGAAAUCAACCGAGAUUCCCCCAGUAGCGGCGAGCGAACGGGGAGCAGCCCAGAGUCUGAAUCAGCUUGUGUGUUAGUGGAACGGUCUGGAAAGUCCGACGGUACAGGGUGAUAGUCCCGUACACCAAAAUGCACAGGUUGU
rnacentral:rRNA from 1 species